UCGGUUUAAGUAUGAGGAAAUAUUUAUAAUUGAUAAAUUCAUAAAGUAAUUGGAGGUGAAAUUUGAUUUAGUUAUUUUAAAUUAAUUUAUUUUUAUAAAUGUUCUGAAAUCUUAAAAGUCUCAGGUAUAGAAAAGAAUUAGAUACUCUUGUAUACUGUUAUAAUAUUUAAGGCCAGGGUAUUAGUAGCUAUGUCCUUUAAAUCUAAAGAAUUUGGCGGUAUUUAAGUCUAGUUAGAGGAACUUGUUCUUUAAAUGAUAAUCCCCGAACAUCUUACUUUACUUUGUAUUCAGUUUGUAUAUCGUCAUUAUUAAGCAGUUUUUUAAAAGAGGGCUGUAAUAGGUUGAUAAUCUAGAAUAUUAGAUCAAGGUGCAGCUAAUAGUAAAGUCGGUAGUGAGUUACAAUUAUAAAGAUUAAUACGAAUAAUAAAAGGCAGGUUUAUUUUGAAGGUGGAUUUAAUUGUAAUUUAGGUUUAUAAAACUGUAUUGAUAGAGUGCUUAAAUGUGUACAAAUCGCCCGUCGCUCUCAUUAA
rnacentral:rRNA from 1 species